GAUGAACGCUGGCGGCGUGCCUAACACAUGCAAGUCGAGCGAUCUUCUUCGGAAGAGAGCGGCGGACGGGUGAGUAACGCGUGGGUAACCUGCCCUGUACACACGGAUAACAUACCGAAAGGUAUGCUAAUACGAGAUAAUAUACUUUUAUCGCAUGGUAGAAGUAUCAAAGCUUUUGCGGUACAGGAUGGACCCGCGUCUGAUUAGCUAGUUGGUAAGGUAACGGCUUACCAAGGCGACGAUAAGUAGCCGACCUGAGAGGGUGAUCGGCCACAUUGGAACUGAGACACGGUCCAAACUCCUACGGGAGGCAGCAGUGGGGAAUAUUGCACAAUGGGCGAAAGCCUGAUGCAGCAACGCCGCGUGAGCGAUGAAGGCCUUCGGGUCGUAAAGCUCUGUCCUCAAGGAAGAUAAUGACGGUACUUGCGGAGGAAGCCCCGGCUAACUACGUGCCAGCAGCCGCCGUAA
rnacentral:rRNA from 1 species